GGAGAGGUGCCUGAGUGGCCGAAAGGAACAGUUUGCUAAACUGUCGUACUGGUAACGGUACCGCGGGUUCGAAUCCCGCCUCUUCCG
rnacentral:tRNA from 1 species